rnacentral:rRNA from 1 species
CACCGCGGUUAUACGAGAGGCCCAAGUUGACUAAAAUCGGCGUAAAGAGUGGUUAAUGGUCUUUUUACUAGGGCCGAACAUCUUCAAGGCUGUCAUACGCACCCGAGGACAGGAAGAACCCCCACGAAAGUGGCCCUAACAAGCAUGAACCCACGAAAGCUAGGGAA